GAUGAACGCUGGCGGCGUGCCUAAUACAUGCAAGUCGAGCGAACAGACGAGGAGCUUGCUCCUCUGCCGUUAGCGGCGGACGGGUGAGUAACACGUGGAUAACCUACCUAUAAGACUGGGAUAACUUCGGGAACCCGGAUCCAAUACCGGAUAAUAUAUUGAACCGCAUGGUUCUUUAGUGAAAGACGGUUUAGCUGUGCCUAGUAGGGGGUUCCGAGCCGCAUUAGCUAGUUGGUAAGGUAACGGCUUACCAAGGCAACGAUGCGUAGCCGACCUGAGAGGGUGAUCGGCCACACUGGAACUGAGACACGGUCCAGACUCCUACGGGAGGCAGCAGUAGGGAAUCUUCCGCAAUGGGCGAAAGCUUGACGGAGCAACGCCGCGUGAGUGAUGAAGGUCUUCGGAUCGUAAAACUCUGUUAUUAGGGAAGAACAAAUGUGUAAGUAACUAUGCACGUCUUGACGGUACCUAAUCAGAAAGCCACGGCUAACUACGUG
rnacentral:rRNA from 1 species